rnacentral:rRNA from 1 species
UACGUAGGGGGGCGAGCGUUGUCCGGAGUUACUGGGCGUAAAGCGCACGCAGGCGGUCUGCUAAGUUUGGAGUGACAGUUGGGUGGCUCAACCACCAAAGUGCUUCGAAAAACUGACAGACUUGAGGGCUUCAGAGGGACACGGAAUUCCGGGUGGAGUGGUGAAAUGCGUAGAGAUCCGGAGGAACACCGAAGGCGAAGGCAGUGUCCUGGGGAGUACCUGACGCUCAGGUGCGAAAAGCUAGGGGAGCGAACGGG